UACACAUCGCCCGUCACUCUCGCCUAGCAAUAUAUAGCAAGGGGAGAAAAGUCGUAACACAAUAGGCCCACCGGAAGGUAGGCCUGGAAAAU
rnacentral:rRNA from 1 species